ensembl:misc_RNA 7SK 7SK RNA
GGAUGUGAAGGCGACCAUCUGGCUAUGACAUCUGCCACCCCAUUGAUCGCCAGGGUUGAUUUGGCUGCUCUGGCUGUCUAGGCUGGUGUCCCCUUCCUCCCUCACUGAUCCAUGUGCUUUCCUCCCGAAGCUGCGAGCUCAGUCGAAGAGGACUACCUUCCCUGAAUAGAGGAGGACAAGUCUUCGGUCAAGCUGCACUCCCCUGCUAGAACCUCCAAACAAGCUCUCAAGAAAGUGAAAUUAUGAGAUCCACAGGUAAAUGGACAGAGCUAGAAAUAACCAUUCUGAAUGAGGUAAGUCACAGCCAGAAAGACGAAUGUUACAUGUUUUCUCU